GACGAACGCUGGCGGCGUGCCUAAUACAUGCAAGUCGAGCGGACAGAUGGGAGCUUGCUCCCUGAAGUCAGCGGCGGACGGGUGAGUAACACGUGGGCAACCUGCCUGUAAGACUGGGAUAACUUCGGGAAACCGGAGCUAAUACCAGAUACGUUCUUUUCUCGCAUGAGAGAAGAUGGAAAGAUGGUUUCGGCUAUCACUUACAGAUGGGCCCGCGGCGCAUUAGCUAGUUUGUGAGGUAAUGGCUCACCAAGGCGACGAUGCGUAGCCGACCAGAGAGGGUGAUCGGCCACACUGGGACUGAGACACGGCCCAGACUCCUACGGGAGGCAGCAGUAGGGAAUCUUCCGCAAUGGACGAAAGUCUGACGGAGCAACGCCGCGUGAACGAUGAAGGCCUUCGGGUCGUAAAGUUCUGUUGUUAGGGAAGAACAAGUACCAGAGUAACUGCUGGUACCUUGACGGUACCUAACCAGAAAGCCACGGCUAACUACGUGCCAGCCGCCGCCGUAAAAC
rnacentral:rRNA from 1 species